UUUUAAAAGACCUUUUUCGAAAGGUAUGCUUAAAGAGGGGCUUGCGCCAUAUUAGUUAGUUGGUAGGGUAAAAGCCUACCAAGACGAUGAUAUGUAGCUGGACUGAGAGGUUGAACGGCCACAUUGGGACUGAGACACGGCCCAAACUCCCACGGGAGGCAGCAGUAGGGAAUUUUCGGCAAUGGAGGAAACUCUGACCGAGCAACGUCGCGUGAACGAUGAAGUAUUUCGGUAUGUAAAGUUCUUUUAUUGAAGAAGAAAAAAUAGUGGAAAAACUAUCUUGACGCUAUUCAAUGAAUAAGCCCUGGCUAAUUAUGUGCCAGCAGCCGCGGUAAUACAUAAAGGGCGAGCGUUAUCCGGAAUUAUUGGGCGUAAAGGGUGCGUAGGCGGUUUGUUAAGUCUUUAGUUUAAUCUCAGUGCUUAACGCUGUUCUGCUAGAGAAACUGACUUACUAGAGUGAGAUAGAGGCAAGUGGAAUUCCAUGUGUCAGCGGUAAAAUGCGUAAAUAUAUGGAGGAACACCAGAGGCGUAGGCGGCUUGCUGGGUCUUUACUGACGCUGAGGCACGAAAGCGUGGGGAGCAAACAGGAUUAGAUACCCUGGUAGUCCACGCCGUAAACGAUGAGUACUAAGUGUCGGGGAAACUCGGUACUGAAGUUAACACAUUAAGUACUCCGCCUGAGUAGUACGUACGCAAGUAUGAAACUUAAAGGAAUUGACGGGAUCCCGCACAAGCGGUGGAUCAUGUUGUUUAAUUCGAAGAUACACGAAAAACCUUACCAGGUCUUGACAUACUCUGCAAAGCUGUAGAAAUACAGUGGAGGUUAUCAGGGAUACAGGUGGUGCAUGGUUGUCGUCAGCUCGUGUCGUGAGAUGUUAGGUUAAGUCCUAGAACGAGCGCAACCCUUGUCGUUAGUUACCAGCACGUUAUGGUGGGCACUUUAACGAGACUGCCAAUGAAAUAUUGGAGGAAGGUGAGGAUUACGUCAAAUCAUCAUGCCCCUUAUGAUCUGGGCUACAAACGUGAUACAAUGGCUGUUACAAAGAGUAGCUGAAACGUGAGUUUUUGGCCAAUCUCAAAAAAACAGCCUCAGUUCGGAUUGAAGUCUGCAACUCGACUUCAUGAAGUUGGAAUCGCUAGUAAUCGCAAAUCAGCAUGU
rnacentral:rRNA from 1 species